ACAAUGAUACUUCCGUAAUUCGCGGCCCGGUCAUAAAGAAGACGGGGGGCCGAAAGGCCAAUGG
ncrna:unclassified sequences pemK RNA